AGUAUCCAAUGCAUGGAGUGGUUCUAAGCUGCUAAUCAACGAAGACAUCCCGGAGAUUUCUGAGUUUUUGUCAAAGUUGCCUGCAAAUGAGCAAUCCCAAAAGCCUUCGCAAUCUGCCAAAUCUAUGUCUCUUUGGUCUGGUGGAUCUCAGUUUACAACACUUGAAAAAUUUGUUCAUAAGGCAAAGUGCAUUCCUUUGAGUCAAUUCUGCAAAAUCAAACAAGACAUGUUAUGUGUGACUGUUGGAACUACCACGAAAUAUUAUGUAUCCAAGCAUGGUUGGUUUUACUAUGGUUGCACAAAGUGCUCUGUGAAG